rnacentral:rRNA from 1 species
GGCAGUGCGGCGUGCUAUACAUGCAGUCGAGCGGACCGACGGGAGCUUGCUCCCUUAGGUCAGCGGCGGACGGGUGAGUAACACGUGGGUAACCUGCCUGUAAGACUGGGAUAACUCCGGGAAACCGGGGCUAAUACCGGAUGCUUGAUUGAACCGCAUGGUUCAAUCAUAAAAGGUGGCUUUUAGCUACCACUUACAGAUGGACCCGCGGCGCAUUAGCUAGUUGGUGAGGUAACGGCUCACCAAGGCGACGAUGCGUAGCCGACCUGAGAGGGUGAUCGGCCACACUGGGACUGAGACACGGCCCAGACUCCUACGGGAGGCAGCAGUAGGGAAUCUUCCGCAAUGGACGAAAGUCUGACGGAGCAACGCCGCGUGAGUGAUGAAGGUUUUCGGAUCGUAAAACUCUGUUGUUAGGGAAGAACAAGUACCGUUCGAAUAGGGCGGUACCUUGACGGUACCUAACCAGAAAGCCACGGCUAACUACGUGCCAGCAGCCGCGGUAAUACGUAGGUGGCAAGCGUUGUCCCGGAAUUAUUGGGCGUAAAGCGCGCGCAGGCGGUUUCUUAAGUCUGAUGUGAAAGCCCCCGGCUCAACCGGGGAGGGUCAUUGGAAACUGGGGAACUUGAGUGCAGAAGAGGAGAGUGGAAUUCCACGUGUAGCGGUGAAAUGCGUAGAGAUGGUGGAGAGAACACCAGUGGCGAAGGCGACUCUCUGGUCUGUAACUGACGCUGAGGCGCGAAAGCGUGGGGAGCGAACAGGAUUAGAUACCCUGGUAGUCCACGCCGUAAACGAUGAGUGCUAAGUGUUAGAGGGUUUCCGCCCUUUAGUGCUGCAGCAAACGCAUUAAGCACUUCCGCCUGGAGUACGUCGCAAGACUGAAACUCAAAGAAUGACGGCGGCCCGCACAGCGUGGAGCAUGUGGUUUAAUUAGCACGCACGAACUUACCAGGUCUGUGACAUCAUCUUGCACCCUAGAGAUAGGGCUUCCCCUUCGGGGGCAGAGUGACAGGUGGUGCAUGGUUGUCGUCAGCUCGUGUCGUGAGAUGUUGGGUUAAGUCCCGCAACGAGCGCAACCCUUGAUCUUAGUUGCCAGCAUUCAGUUGGGCACUCUAAGGUGACUGCCGGUGACAAACCGGAGGAAGGUGGGGAUGACGUCAAAUCAUCAUGCCCCUUAUGACCUGGGCUACACACGUGCUACAAUGGGCAGAACAAAGGGCAGCGAAGCCGCGAGGCUAAGCCAAUCCCACAAAUCUGUUCUCAGUUCGGAUCGCAGUCUGCAACUCGACUGCGUGAAGCUGGAAUCGCUAGUAAUCGCGGAUCAGCAUGCCGCGGUGAAUACGUUCCCGGGCCUUGUACACACCGCCCGUCACACCACGAGAGUUUGUAACACCCGAAGUCGGUGAGGUAACCUUUUGGAGCCCGCCGCCGACAGCGGACCAGAACCCUCCUC